rnacentral:rRNA from 1 species
UACGUAGGGGCGAGCGUUGUCCGGAAUUACUGGGUGUAAAGGGCGCGCAGGCGGUAUAUCAAGUCAGCUGUCAAAGACUGGGGCUCAACCCUGGUAUGCGGUUGAAACUGAUAUGCUGGAGUGCUGUAGAGGCAAGUGGAAUUCCCAGUGUAGCGGUGAAAUGCGUAGAUAUUAGGAGGAACACCAGUGGCGAAGGCGACUUACUGGACUGUAACUGACGCUGAGUCACGAAAGCGUGGGUAGCAAACAGGAUUAGA